AGCUCAUGAAAAUAAGAAUCAACAAACAGAUGAAGCUAAAGAACGGUCUCAAGAUAAUGUCAACAUUGGUGAAGAUCAAAAAUUAGCUGAUGAAAAUAAGAAUCAGCUAACAAAUAAAAGCACAGAACGGUGGCAAGAUAAUGUCAACAAUGGUGAAGAUCAAGAAUCACCUCAUGAAAAUAAGAAUCAGCAAACAGAUAAAGUUACAGAACUGUCGCAAGAUAAUGGCAACAAAGGUGAAGAUCAAGAAUCACCUCAUGAAAAUAAGAAUCAGCAAACAGAUAAAGUUACAGAACUGUCGCAAGAUAAUGGCAACAAAGGUGAAGAUCAAGAAUCACCUCAUGAAUAUAAGAAUCAGCAAACAGAUAAAGUUACUGAACUGUCGCAAGAUAAUG